rnacentral:rRNA from 1 species
GUUUGAUCAUGGCUCAGGACGAACGCUGGCGGCGUGCUUAACACAUGCAAGUCGAGCGAUGAGAUCACUUCGGUGAUGGAUUAGCGGCGAACGGGUGAGGAACACGUGAAGAAUCUGCCUUCAACUCUGGGAUAACUCCGGGAAACCGGGGCUAAUACCGGAUAUGAGCCUUGAUCGCAUGAUCGGGGCUGGAAAGUUUUUCGGUUGAAGAUGACUUCGCGGCCUAUCAGCUUGUUGGUGAGGUAAUGGCUCACCAAGGCGACGACGGGUAGCCGGCCUGAGAGGGCGACCGGCCACACUGGGACUGAGACACGGCCCAGACUCCUACGGGAGGCAGCAGUGGGGAAUAUUGGGCAAUGGAGGAAACUCUGACCCAGCGACGCCGCGUGCGGGAUGAAGGCCUUCGGGUUGUAAACCGCUUUCAGCAGGGAAUAAGCGCAAGUGAAGGUACCUGCAGAAGAAGCACCGGCUAACUAUGUGCCAGCAGCCGCGGUAAUACAUAGGGUGCAAGCGUUGUCCGGAAUUAUUGGGCGUAAAGAGCUCGUAGGUGGUUCGUUACGUCGGUUGUGAAAUUCAGGGGCUCAACCCCUGACUUGCAGCCGAUACGGGCAAGCUAGAGUUUGGUAGGGGAGACUGGAAUUCCUGGUGUAGCGGUGGAAUGCGCAGAUAUCAGGAGGAACACCGAUGGCGAAGGCAGGUCUCUGGGCCAAUACUGACACUGAGGAGCGAAAGCGUGGGGAGCGAACAGGAUUAGAUACCCUGGUAGUCCACGCCGUAAACGGUGGCGCUAGUUGUGCGAACCUUCCACGGUUUGUGCGACGCAGCUAACGCAUUAAGCGCCCCGCCUGGGGAGUACGAUCGCAAGAUUAAAACUCA